rnacentral:rRNA from 1 species
AGCUGGUCGGAAUUUGGUAGGGCUUCCCAAGCACGGGGCCGUCCGACUGCAGCUUCGGUCAGGACAGACGCAAUUGACUCCCUCACCGAGGACGCCGCAGCCCGCGGGGAAGUGCAAACGUGACGGCCUUGAGGGCGGGAGAUGGCAGGUGGCCGGUGGCGGGCUUCGGCCCGUCGCCGGUUGUUAGCCGUCCCGUCGGUGGCCCGUCUCCCCGCGGAGGUAUCGUGACGCCUUACUGGGCGUUCGACGUCUCCUCCUCCAUGGAAAGCCCGGACGUAUAGCGGCGAGCGAAGGCAACCGCGCGGCCGCACCCUUUCGGGGUGGGCCACCGUACGGUCGGCGCCGGCGGCUGCUGAGGACCGGUUGGAGGCUGGAGGCUAGCGGCGAGUAGGUCGGUCACCCACCCGACACGUCUUGAAACACGGACCAAGGAGUCUAACAUGUGCGCGAGUCAAUGGGUCUUGAACAGGCCCAGAGGCGCAAUGAAAGUAAAGGUCGGCACCAGUCGACCCAGCCGGGAUCCAGGCUAU